rnacentral:RNase_P_RNA from 1 species
ACAGCAGGUCGGUUUGUCGCUGUCCUGUCAUGCGGGAUAGAGGAAAGUCCGGGCAACAAAGAGCACCAUAUUUCCUAACGGGAAGUUGUCAGUGAUGGCAAAGUAGUGUAACAGAAAAUAACCGUCCGUCAGUUGACGGAUAAGGGUGAAAAGGUGAGGUAAGAGCUUACCGGAGCCGGUGGCGACACCGGUUGCCGUACACCUUAUGGGUUGCAAGAUCAUGUAUACCGGCGCAGUAGGGUGGCUCGUCCGAUGCCGGGGGGUAGAUUGCUAGAUUCCGUCAGUGAUGACGGAGCCAGAUAAAUGACAAACAGUGUGCUUCAUGCACAUUACAGAACCCGGCUUACAGACCUGCUGUUUUU